AGAGGUGGGGUUACUUCAGGUGUGGGACUAGGACCUAAGGCUGUAAGCUGAGCCAGGGAGCAGGGAGGGGGGUCAGCACCUUUGCCCGGGAAGCUGGACAAAGGAGGGGGCCGGCUGG